UUCCUCAAUAGCUCAGUUGGUAGAGCAUAUGGCUGUUAACCAUAAUGUCGUUGGUUCAAGUCCAACUUGUGGAGA
rnacentral:tRNA from 2 species